GGUUAAGCGACUAAGCGUACACGGUGGAUGCCCUGGCAGUCAGAGGCGAUGAAGGGCGUGCUAAUCUGCGAUAAGCGCCGGUAAGGUGAUAUGAACCGUUAUAACCGGCGAUACCCGAAUGGGGAAACCCAGUGUGACUCGUCACACUAUCAUUAACUGAAUCCAUAGGUUAAUGAGGCGAACCGGGGGAACUGAAACAUCUAAGUACCCCGAGGAAAAGAAAUCAACCGAGAUUCCCCCAGUAGCGGCGAGCGAACGGGGAGGAGCCCAGAGCCUGAAUCAGCAUGUGUGUUAGUGGAAGCGUCUGGAAAGGCGCGCGAUACAGGGUGACAGCCCCGUACACAAAAGCGCAUGUGCUGUGAGCUCGAUGAGUAGGGCGGGACACGUGGUAUCCUGUCUGAAUAUGGGGGGACCAUCCUCCAAGGCUAAAUACUCCUGACUGACCGAUAGUGAACCAGUACCGUGAGGGAAAGGCGAAAAGAACCCCGGCGAGGGGAGUGAAAAAGAACCUGAAACCGUGUACGUACAAGCAGUGGGAGCACAGGUUUACCUGUGUGACUGCGUACCUUUUGUAUAAUGGGUCAGCGACUUAUAUUCUGUAGCAAGGUUAACCGAAUAGGGGAGCCGGAGGGAAACCGAGUCUUAAUUGGGCGUUAAGUUGCAGGGUAUAGACCCGAAACCCGGUGAUCUAGCCAUGGGCAGGUUGAAGGUUGGGUAACACUAACUGGAGGACCGAACCGACUAAUGUUGAAAAAUUAGCGGAUGACCUGUGGCUGGGGGUGAAAGGCCAAUCAAACCGGGAGAUAGCUGGUUCUCCCCGAAAGCUAUUUAGGUAGCGCCUCGUGAAUUCAUCUCCGGGGGUAGAGCACUGUUUCGGCUAGGGGGCCAUCCCGGCUUACCAACCCGAUGCAAACUGCGAAUACCGGAGAAUGUUAUCACGGGAGACACACGGCGGGUGCUAACGUCCGUCGUGAAGAGGGAAACAACCCAGACCGCCAGCUAAGGUCCCAAAGUCAUGGUUAAGUGGGAAACGAUGUGGGAAGGCCCAGACAGCCAGGAUGUUGGCUUAGAAGCAGCCAUCAUUUAAAGAAAGCGUAAUAGCUCACUGGUCGAGUCGGCCUGCGCGGAAGAUGUAACGGGGCUAAACCAUGCACCGAAGCUGCGGCAGCGAACGUAUCACUUAAAGCGAUUCAGCGGGUUACGAUUGACGGAGCGAAGCGACGUCAAAGCGUAUACAAAGUCGAGUCGGUUUAAGGAUACGUUCGUUGGGUAGGGGAGCGUUCUGUAAGCCUGUGAAGGUGGCCUGUGAGGGUUGCUGGAGGUAUCAGAAGUGCGAAUGCUGACAUAAGUAACGAUAAAGCGGGUGAAAAGCCCGCUCGCCGGAAGACCAAGGGUUCCUGUCCAACGUUAAUCGGGGCAGGGUGAGUCGACCCCUAAGGCGAGGCCGAAAGGCGUAGUCGAUGGGAAACGGGUUAAUAUUCCCGUACUUGGUGUUACUGCGAAGGGGGGACGGAGAAGGCUAUGUUGGCCGGGCGACGGUUGUCCCGGUUUAAGCGUGUAGGUGUGUGUUCCAGGUAAAUCCGGUUCACUUUAACACUGAGGCGUGACGACGAGGCACUACGGUGCUGAAGCAACAAAUGCCCUGCUUCCAGGAAAAGCCUCUAAGCAUCAGGUAACAUCAAAUCGUACCCCAAACCGACACAGGUGGUCAGGUAGAGAAUACCAAGGCGCUUGAGAGAACUCGGGUGAAGGAACUAGGCAAAAUGGUGCCGUAACUUCGGGAGAAGGCACGCUGACACGUAGGUGAAGUGAUUUACUCAUGGAGCUGAAGUCAGUCGAAGAUACCAGCUGGCUGCAACUGUUUAUUAAAAACACAGCACUGUGCAAACACGAAAGUGGACGUAUACGGUGUGACGCCUGCCCGGUGCCGGAAGGUUAAUUGAUGGGGUCAGCGCAAGCGAAGCUCCUGAUCGAAGCCCCGGUAAACGGCGGCCGUAACUAUAACGGUCCUAAGGUAGCGAAAUUCCUUGUCGGGUAAGUUCCGACCUGCACGAAUGGCGUAAUGAUGGCCAGGCUGUCUCCACCCGAGACUCAGUGAAAUUGAACUCGCUGUGAAGAUGCAGUGUACCCGCGGCAAGACGGAAAGACCCCGUGAACCUUUACUAUAGCUUGACACUGAACAUUGAGCCUUGAUGUGUAGGAUAGGUGGGAGGCUUUGAAGCGUGGACGCCAGUCUGCGUGGAGCCGACCUUGAAAUACCACCCUUUAAUGUUUGAUGUUCUAACGUGGACCCGUAAUCCGGGUUGCGGACAGUGUCUGGUGGGUAGUUUGACUGGGGCGGUCUCCUCCUAAAGAGUAACGGAGGAGCACGAAGGUUGGCUAAUCCUGGUCGGACAUCAGGAGGUUAGUGCAAUGGCAUAAGCCAGCUUGACUGCGAGCGUGACGGCGCGAGCAGGUGCGAAAGCAGGUCAUAGUGAUCCGGUGGUUCUGAAUGGAAGGGCCAUCGCUCAACGGAUAAAAGGUACUCCGGGGAUAACAGGCUGAUACCGCCCAAGAGUUCAUAUCGACGGCGGUGUUUGGCACCUCGAUGUCGGCUCAUCACAUCCUGGGGCUGAAGUAGGUCCCAAGGGUAUGGCUGUUCGCCAUUUAAAGUGGUACGCGAGCUGGGUUUAGAACGUCGUGAGACAGUUCGGUCCCUAUCUGCCGUGGGCGCUGGAGAACUGAGGGGGGCUGCUCCUAGUACGAGAGGACCGGAGUGGACGCAUCACUGGUGUUCGGGUUGUCAUGCCAAUGGCACUGCCCGGUAGCUAAAUGCGGAAGAGAUAAGUGCUGAAAGCAUCUAAGCACGAAACUUGCCCCGAGAUGAGUUCUCCCUGAGACUUUAAGUCUCCUGAAGGAACGUUGAAGACGACGACGUUGAUAGGCCGGGUGUGUAAGCGCAGCGAUGCGUUGAGCUAACCGGUACUAAUGAACCGUGAGGCUUAACCUU
rnacentral:rRNA from 1 species